UCCGAGUUGACCCCGGCAGUCUCCUAUGAGUCCCCGGCAUAACCCGCUGGCAACAUAGAACGAGGGUUGCGCUCGUUGCGGGACUUAACCCAACAUCUCACGACACGAGCUGACGACAACCAUGCACCACCUGUACACCGACCACAAGGGGGCGACCAUCUCUGGCCGUUUCCGGUGUAUGUCAAGCCUUGGUAAGGUUCUUCGCGUUGCAUCGAAUUAAUCCGCAUGCUCCGCCGCUUGUGCGGGCCCCCGUCAAUUCCUUUGAGUUUUAGCCUUGCGGCCGUACUCCCCAGGCGGGGCGCUUAAUGCGUUAGCUACGACACAGAAACCGUGGAAAGGUCCCUACAUCUAGCGCCCAACGUUUACGGCAUGGACUAC
rnacentral:misc_RNA from 1 species